rnacentral:lncRNA from 1 species
AGACACAGCUAGGGCUUUUUUUUUUUUUUAAGUGGUACUAUAUACCUAUCAAAAGUAUUGUUUUGAAAAGUAUUUUUAUACACUGCUGGCCUGAAAUUGUAUUUCAGAUUGUGCCUGUUGUGACGUAAUCAAUAGCAAAAGUAAAGCCUUCUCCUUCCCACCACUUGCACAUAAACCUCAUAGUUGUUACUUUAGGCGUUCCUCCUGUUAGAAUAGUUUUUCUUUAGGCUUUACUGAUACAGGUUUUGAGUAGCCUCAGAGGUGAAUUUUUCUAAUGCAGUGAAUCCAUACAGAUGUGAUAUUUAUAUGAAUAUUUUAGCCAUGUAAUAUAUUAUGUUGAAUUCUAGUUCUGUGCAGUAAAGUGUAUUAUGUUAAAGUAUUUUUUUAAGUUUAUAUGUGAAGACACAUGUCUAUUGCAGAUGUUGUUAAAGAUUGCUUAAAACAUUAAUAUGUACCUGGUCUGGGGUCUUAUUAAAGUUCUAGGCAUGAAUAUAGGGAUUGAAAAAUCCCAAGGAUCUGAAUAUUCAGGUGUUCCAAUGCCUCGGUCUGCAGAGUUUUAAGGUCUCUCUUGGGAGGAGCCACUGUCCUUUGGGAACAGGUGACAUGCUCCAGGGUGGCACCAGACCAUAAAGUGUAACUGUUAUUUAGCACCUUGAAUUUUUCCACACAGGCAAGUACAUCUCUUCACGAACAACUAAAAGAAGCAGCAAGUGGUUUGUCCAUUUCUAAGAAUCUUAGACUAUUAAUUGGCCAUAAAGUAAAGUGGUAUUUAUACUUGUCACUGGAAAGCCAGAGAGAGUGGCCUUAACCGAAAAUGGCUAACAGGAUCAAGUAUUAUUUUAAGGUCCAAACUUUUUGAUCUGUCAGAAACAGGUUAUUUUUAAAAUAAGUACAAUGUUGCUUUAGGUACUGGUGGUAGCCAGGGGAUCAGAAGGGCACAAACCAGAUCCUGGAAGGGUUUUGUUUUUCUGAGAAAAACAAAUCCUUUCAAAAGGAGGUUAAAAUUUAAGAGUAUUGAUAUUAUUAAUGGAGAGAAGACUGGAGGGAACCCAUUUCUGUUACUAGCCACCUAGUAAAAAUUAUCUCAGCUGGGCUCCGUAGGGAUUACGUAAAUAAUCUACCUGGUGAGAAGACAUGCUAGCAACAAUGGCCAACCUUUUGGGGACGUGGGUGCCCAAAAGCAUGAGGGUGUUGCUACAGCUCAGUUUGGUCUCCUAGAACUGAACUGAGGUCAUAGACACACACAUGUGGUCUCUGCCAGCCCACAAGCAGUGGGUGUAACAUUUCACAAGCAUGGAUUCAUUCAUUCGCUUCCUCAACACGUAUUGAUUGAGGACCUGCUCUGAGCCGGACGUGGUGCUGGGAUGCGCGCAGAUCACAUUUGGCAACUGCCUUCACGCACACAGCACACAAUUAAGUGAUGAGGUAGUGCCUGUGGCAGCCGCCUAUCUGUGGGAGGGAGGAAGGCAGGAGCAAUGUGUGCAGGAGAGUGCAGGAUGCCCCUGGCCUCGGGGGGAUCUUUCCCUGGAACUUGACUCUCAUCUUUGUUUGCAAAAGCCCAGCCCAGCCCCUGCCUGUCCUUCCAUCCCCAAACAAUACCUUAAAGACAUGGCUUACACUUCAGUAAGAUAUCGCUGUGGAGGAGGGGUUGCCGGAGGAAUUGAAGGGCUGGUAUGGGGGCAGCCGUGGGCUCAACAGCCCCUCCUGGUACAAUUUGAGGCUGUGGACUUGUUGGCACCCAAAACAAUCCCUCCAAACCUGACGGUCCCUCCUGACGCUCACCUGCCUGUCUCCUCUCUGCCAUCCCAGGGUGGCCUGGUGUUGGAGAGCCAGUGAUGGUCCUGUGUUCUCUGCAGGUGGGUCAUCCCCUGGCUGACCUCUUUCCUGCCUCAAGACCAUUAAGUAAAAACAGCCGGCGUGGCGGCUUGUAGAAAGUUGUUUAGUCUGUAGAAGCUAAUACAGUCUCAGCUAUGCCUAGAGAGUUACCUAAUUGCUAUGGCAACCCUGACUAGCCACAGUAUUUAGCAUGUGUCCAAUUCAGUAACUCUAGUUUCUCCUGUAAGAUGCCUUAGUCCGCUGUUACUGCAAGACAACCUCAGAAAUCUCAGAGGCUACUGAUUACAAAUCCUCACCCUGGGGUUUUAUAUUCCAGGGCAUGGGUGUGGUCUGGGCCUGUUCCAGGUCCUGGGGGCGGGAAGGAGUGGCAGUCCCCUGGGCAUGUCCUUUCUCAUGGCAGAAGCACAAAAGGCCAAGCCAACCCCACAAGCACACUUUGAGCCCCAGGUCACGCACUUGGUGGAUGUCAAGUGUCCUUGUUCUCUUGGCCAAUGCACAAGGCCAAGCCCCACCUCGGGGGUGGUCAGUUCAAGCCCAAGAACAGUGACACGGUCGGAGCAGCUGUUGCAAGAGUUUUUGUUUUUGACUCUUUGGGGCCCCACCAGAGGCAUAUGGAAGUUCCCAGGCUAGGGGUUGAAUGGCCUACACCACAGCUCACAGUGGAUCCUUAACGCACUGAGCAAGGCCAGGGAUCGAACCUGCAACCUCAUGGUUCCUAGUCGGAUUCAUUAAACACUAAGCCCUUGCAAGAGAGUUUUGAAGACAGGAAAGGAAUCACAAAAUUUGUGGCAGAACGUGAAUGAUCUUCCCCGUAUUUUACAAACAUUCUGUCAUCUUGAAAAGUUCAUUGUUUGGAUUUCCCUGGUGGUUCAGGUUAAGGAUCCAGCAUUGUCACUGCUGUGGCUCAAGUUCAUUCCCUGGUCCCAGGAACUUCCACAUGCCUCAGGUGCAGCUAAAAAGAAAAAAUUUCAUUAUUUAAUACUGCAAUAUUGCAGUAAUAACUACAAGGGAAUCUGGGGUGGGGCGGGGGCCGGUAGGCAGGGGCCUUGAGGUGAGAUGUGGAAGGCCCUGCAUCCAGACACCUCUGUCAACAGUGGAGGGCUCUGGAGGCUCCACACAAAAUGGAUUUAUGGCAGCACUGGACUCCAAGGGUUUCUCUGGGGUCCCUGGGAUGCUUUGGAGGGGUCAAGCCCGGGCACAGGGAGACCAGCCAGGUGGGAAGUGCUGGGAAACAAGGGAGAAGCAGCAUCUACACAGGCCUCAGCAGCACUCUGGGUCAAGGAAGAAGCAGACCCUCCCGGCCAGGCCUGCCCAGGCUUCUGGAAGGCAAAUACGAGAAAGCGCUAUGUCUGACUCAGUAAAGGAUCCGGGCAGCUGGCACACGGGCAGGAAUGCGGGUGCCAAGCUCAGCAAGCAUGUGGGAAAUCACGGGAAGGGGUGCUGCCAGAGACCCUAGCAAGUUGAUGCCUCAGGGACCACCUGGUGAGGAUGUUGCAGCUGGCACCCACUGCAGCCACGAGACACUGCCACCAAGAUAACAAAUACCCAGCCAUCUCUGCCCAGAGCUCAAGAUUCAAGUACCAGGAGGGAGGGUGUGAUGGGCAGACCUUGCAGCUUCCAGAACAUGAAGUGGAAGAGGAUCUGGCUUCUUUGGCACCAGGAGGAGGAGGCAGGACUUGGCCAGACUCACUCAGUAGAGGUUUGUGCAGAAGGGAAGGCUGUUCGGAGACUGGGUGACCAAAGCUGAUGACAGAAGUGCUCCUGGGCUGGGGGAUGCGCAUCCUCCUGUGCUGACCCUUCAAAACCACUGCUCUUAUCCAGCAGGACACAACUGGCCUCGCCACCACGCAUUAGCUCAUCUUUCCUGAUAGAGGGUCAUGGCGCAAAGCUGCUUCAUCCUUCCUGCAGCCACCUCUUCAUCCAGGGCAUCUGCAGGGGUCUCAUCCGUCUCUCGCUCUAUCAUAUUCUUUCUGUAUGUUCCAGAAUGUGUGGAUUAAUGUUCACUACCAUGGCAUGCCUCCAAGGGCUGGUCAAGGACCCCAGGGGGCCCACAAGCGCCUCCUUUUCCCAGCUACCCCUCAGGGGAAGCAGAUGCUCUUCUUCCACCGAGACUUCAAGUGAGAUGCAGUCGCGGAUCCGAGAAUGCAGCUGCCCUCUGGUGAGCCGGACUCAAAAGGUUGGCAGGAAUGAAAAAACAGUGCCACCCUUCCCCUCCCUAGAUUUCUGCUUAUUUUUCAUUGUAAAAAAGUUAACACAUGAUGAGUUUAUUUUUUUUAAAGAGUUAAUAAAUAUUUUUUAAAGCCACCAGCUUUCAUUUUUGCCAUGGUAAAUGUUACUACAACUCACAGAAACAAAAGGGCCUUGUGGUUCUUGAUUUUUUUUUUUUUUUUUUUUUUUUUGCUCUUUAGGGCCUAUGGAAGUUCCCAGGCUAGGAGUUGAAUCGAAGCUGCAGCUGCCAGCCACAGCCACAGCCAUAGCCACAGCCACAGCAAUGCAGGAUCUCAGUCAGGUGUGCGACCUAUACCACAGCUCACAGCAACACUAGAUCCUUAACUUACUGAGAGGUCAGGGAUCAAACCUCAAUCUUCAUGCAUACUAGUUGGGUUCUUAACCCCUGAGCCACAAGGGGAACUCCUCCUUGGCAGUUCUUAAGAGUGUUGAAGGGGUCCUAUGACCAAAAUCUUUGAGAAGGGCUGCCCUAGAUUAGAGUUGGUGGGAAGAGAAAAAAAAUGAAAAUUGGGUGGAGUAUAUUAUGAUCCAUGUGCCUGGCAGGGAGGGGAGAGUAACAGGUAUGUCCUUCCUGCACAGUCAGAGAAUGCCUCUCUCCUCUGCCACCCCAGGGGACCCCGCCAUCCUUGACCACACUGCACUUGGUGGGGUUUUGGAACCUGGUGGGGCCUCAGCCCUGUGCAGGUCCUGCUGGUUCUUCAUUUAAUUUUACCUAGAACCAUGUGGGGCCUGGGGGUUCUCUAGGAUCCUGACCAUAAGCCCCACCCCUUUUGUAGCAGCAACACAAUUGCUCCAGAGUCUCCUCACCACCCCCCUACACCCCAAGGCGGCUGUGUUGGCUGGGCUGGGUGGCCCUGACCACUGAGGGGACACAGGGAUGGACAGCCAUUCCCCCCAGGGCUCCCUGGCCACAGUCUCUGUUCUCAGGAUGUCCUGUGGGUUAAAGAGCUUCUUUAGAGGUCAGGGAGGGGAAGUGGUUUCGAAACCUCCCUCCCUGUGUGGCUCAGCGCUCCCCACCCCCACCUUCGGCCUCGACCCCUCCCCUCGCCCUGGGUCCGGGCCUCAGCCUCAGCAGAACACCUUGUGCAGAACCUGGGGCCAUAUGGGCUAUGACAUCUCUGGUCUCAUCCCAGCUCCCUGCUGGUCCCCUCACAGUCCUGUCCCAGGGGCCACCCCUCCUGGACCAGUGCCGCCUCCACCACACACAAGGGUCACCUGCCCUCUAUCUUCUCCUCCACACCAGGACCUUCCCCACCCUCCUCACCACCUCAGCCAAUCUCUGGAUCUGAGACGUGGCUGGUUCAAAGUGGCCAAAGUCUUCUUCCUUGGGCCAUUCUGGCUUUUUUUUUUUUUUUCUUUUUUUCUUUUUUAGGGCUGCACCAGAAAUAUAUGGAAGUUCCCAGGCUAGGGGUGGAAUUGGAGCUGCAGCUGCCGGCUGACACCACAGCCACAGCCACACGGGAUCCUUAACCUACCGAGCGAGGCCAAGGAUCGCACUAGUAUCCUCAUGGCUACUAGUUGGGUUCUCAACCCGCUGAUCCACAACAGGAACUCCCACUCUGGCAUUUUGACGUGGCCCUUCCAGUUUUAACCGAGGGCAGUAAGUGAAUGGGACACUCAAAGUCUCUUCCACCGGCCUGAGACCUUUCCAGGAGGCCUCCCUGCUCUUAAUGGGUGACCAGCCACCAGUGAGAACAGAGUCUGCACUGCCUCCUGUAUGGCAACUGCCUGGUGCUGCUGUGGAGCCAGGGCUGCCCCACUCACCACACCCCACCUUUCUCCACCAGGCAGUUUAAUGACAGGACUGACUUGGGGGGCGGGGCUUGCUGUCCUAAUGGUUAAAUAUCCGAGCAUCUUCCUUACUCAAGGCCUGACUCACCCCUCUCCCUUCCAGCUGUGCUUAGCCCCCACUCCACCCUUGGUCCCUGACUGGCUCUUGUCCCCUUGGACAGGACACCUGAGCCCAGUCUCCUGGCUGAUCCUGAGGACCAGGCCAGACUCUGCCCCAGGCCAGGGGUAUGCGCCGUGAUGACAGGGCUCUGAAACAUCGGAUACACUUUUCAGAGCUGGGAGAUCAGGGCCAUGGCCACCUAGACCCAAGGUCCAGCCUCGGGAGGCCAAACAGGGCCCGGACAGCCAGGCUAGGGUAGUCUCUGAGUGACCACCCUCCUCUCCAGAGGCUCAGGCAGAAGUUACAGAUAGGGAGACAAUGGGGCCUUGCCUGGGACAUCCCUGAGACCCUGCCGCCUCAUAGAACCUGCUUGAGGACCUCAGCAGGUGAGAGGGGGGCAUUGCAAAGCAGGCUGGCAGGCCACCCAGUGCUGCAGUGAUGGCCUGGGCCAGUCCCAGGUGCAUGUCCCCCCCACACAUGGUCAAAUGACAGUCAGCUAUGUGCCCAAAACACAUAGUCUAAGCUUAGGCUACCAUGACAAAAAUCCUCUACACUGCGGGACUCAACAGCAAUCAAGUGAUGUCAGCUACACACAUCUCAUUUCUCAGAGUUCUGGAGGCUGGAAGUCUGAGGUCAGUGUCCUGCACUGCUGGAUUCUGGUAAGGGCCCUUCCCAGCUGGCAGAGAGCCCCCUUCUCACUGAGUCCUCAUGGGGCAAGGAGAAGCAGCUAACUCUCCUCUCUGGUGGCCCUUUUCUUUUGUUUGCUUUUUAGGACCACAUGGAUGGCAUAUGGAGAUUCCCAGGCUAGGGGUUGAAUCAGAGCUGUAGCUGCCAGCCUACACCACAGCCACAGCAACAUGGGAUCCGAGCUGCAUCUUCGACCUACACCACAGCUCGUGGCAAUGUCAGAUCCUUAACCCACUGCGUGAGGCCAGGGGUUGAACCUGUGUCCUCAUGGUUACUAGUCAGAUUUGUUUCUGCUAAGCCACGACGGGAAAUCCAAAAGAUUCUUUAAAUUUUAUAGUGUUUUACAAUUUUCAAAAAUUUCACAUACAUGAUUUCAUAUAAUCCCCUUUAUUAUUAUUAUUCUGCUGUGAUGUCACCUCUAUUUUAGUAAUUUGUGACCUCUCGAUUUUUUUCGAUUUUACUCAUUAAAGAAUUUUUUUGGCCAUGCCUGCAGCAUGUGCAAGUUCCUGGGCCAGGGAUCAGACUCGAGCCACAGAAGUGACAACAGCAAAUCCUUAACUGCUAGGUCACAGGGAACUCCAAGAUUGAUUUAUUUUAUCGACCUUCUCAAAGAGUCAUCUUUUGGUUACUUUUAUUUCCUCUAUUAUUUUCUGGUUUUCUUUUUAUUGAUUGCUGCUCUUUAUUAUGUUCUUCUGCUUAUUGUGGACUUUCUCCUUUUAUUCUUUUUAUAAGGUGUACUCUGGGGUAACUGAUUUGAGACCUUUUCUAAGCAUUAAGUGCUAUACAUUUUCCUCUGUUUACUAAUUUAGCUGCACUCAGCAAACUUUGAGAUUUUGUGUUUUUAUUUUCAUUCAAUACAAAAUACUUUUAAAUUUCCCUUUUGAUAUCUUCUUUCAUCACUAAGGGUUUUUUUUUUUUUUUUUUUUUUUUGUCUUUUUGCCUUUUCUAGGGCCACUCCUGCCGGCAUGUGGAGGUUCCCAGGCUAGGGGUCUAACCAGAGCUAUAGCCACUGGCCUACACCACAGCCACAGCAAUGCCAGAUCCAAGCCGCAACUGUGACCUACAGCACAGCUCACGGCAAUGCCAGAUCCUUAAUCCACUGAGCAAGGCCAGGGAUCGAACCCACAACGUCAUGGCUCCUAGUCAGAUUCGUUAACCACUGAGCCACCAUGGGAACUCCACAUCACUAAGUCAUUUAGAAGUGGGUAUUUAGUUCCAAAAUACUUAAGGAUGUUCCAGAUAUCCUUCUACUGCUGAUUUCUAGUUUAAUUUCAUUAUAGUCAGACAAUAUACUUUGUAUGACUUGAAUCUUUUAAGAUUCAUUAAGACUUGCUUAAUGGUCAGGAUACGGUCUCUCCUGGUAAAUCUUCAUUGCACUCUUGUGCUACUGGGUGAAGGGUUUUAUGAAUAUCGAUUAGUUCAAGUUGAUUCAUACUGUGGUCCAAGUUGUCUAUAUCCUUAGGGAUAUUCUGUACACUUGUUAAUUAUUGAGAGAGGGUUUUUUUUGUGUGGGUUUUAGCCUGUUGAUAGUGAUGCUACCAACCAGGAAUGCCUGAGGGCACUCACCUGGGUCCCUGUUCUUUGCAGUGUGCCCCCACAGACAUUACCCCUCCCCCAAUCAGGACCAAAGUUGUGGCUGGAGAGGCCUCUGUGCAACUCAGCAACCACCAGUAGGGGACUUGGAAAAAACGUUUCUUACUCACCGGUACCCACCACACAGGGCCACACAGAGAUGCAGGGAGAGAAGAGAACAAGACCUCUGAUCCUACCUUCACUGAGGUUUAGAGUUGGGGGCCUAGGGUCUCAUGGGUUCACUCUUUAUUGAUGAAUUUAAAACAAGAGUGGGAACUAAAGUGUGAGAAGGGAAAAGCAGUGUCACUCAAGGGCCAGUUAUCUGAAUUCUCCAGGGCUUUCUGAAAGCAGAAAGUGGUGGGUGGGGUGGCCUGGUUCUUUAUCUGUGUAACUGGCAGUAUGUCUUUGAAAUGUAUGCCUUGGCAGCGAAAAGCUUAAUAUCAGGCAUUUGUACUAUAGGGGUACUGAAAUCUUAACUAUAGUUGAGGACUUAUAUAUUUCUCUUUGCACUUCCAUUAGUUUCUGCUUUAUGUAUUCUGAAGCUCUGUUAUUUAGUGCAUAGUCCUGUAAGAUUAUUAUGUCUCCUUGGUGAAUUCAUUCUUUUAGUAUUAUACAUUAUCUGUCUUUAUUCCUAAUAGUUUUCCUUGCUCUGACUUCAGUGUUUUCUGUUUUAGUGAAGUGAAUUUCACAGUAUAAAAUAAACUGUUUUACGAUUCAUUGGAAUUUUAGUCCAUUCACACUGUUGUGCAGCCAUCACCUCUAUCCAGUUCCAACAUUUUCAUAAUUCCCAAAGGAGACCUUACACCCAUUAAGCACAUUCCUCCAACCUCCAGCUCCUGGCAACCAAUAAUCUGCUUUCUACCUCUAGGGACCUACCUGCACUGGAUCUCUCAUAUUUUUAAACUAUUUUUUUAUUAUUUUCCGUUAUGGUUUAUAAGAGGGAAGUGAAUAUAAUUUCCUGUGCUGUACAGUAGGACCUUGUUGUUUAUCCAUUUUAUAUACACUAAUUUUUGGAAGUUCUCAUGUGACAUAGUGGGUCAAGGAUCCGGCACUGCCACAGCUGUGGUGCAGUUUG